UAUCUCGAGGUACCACUGUAAUUCCACGCAUGCAUACAAUUCGCAUGCAUAAUUCUUCUAAAUUUAUGGUCCGCAAAAGAGAUUGUCAUAAACCCGAAAUGUAUCAUUGUUGUUUGUCGUAAAGUAAAGCUAAAUUAGAAAAAAAACUUAUGCUAAGAUUAAAGAUAAUAUUUGGUGUGAUGAUUGGUGUGAAAGAAAGGAAUGUUUAAAAUUAAUGAAAUUGUUAAAAUUAGUCCGGAAGAAUACCCGAGUAAUGCCCGGCAUGAGACAAAGUGCAAGUAGGAAAUUCCUUGAAAAAAUUGUACAUACUUUAGCAGUUUGAGGCUGACAAUACGACUAAAAGCCGUAAUCAUGAUUUAAACAUAACUAAAAAUUGGUCAAGAAGAAUACAGCAAACUAAGAACUGAAAAAUGCAUGUAAAAUAAUGUUCGGUAAAUGAUAUGGCAUAUAUGCGUACACAAUAUUGUAAUAAACUAGAAGUCUAGAUAGAAUUUAGCGUAAUGGAAACUAUUCCUAUUUCAGAAGUAACCAGCAUAAAAUGACUGAAAAUAUCGAGCAAUAUCCUGUUUCCAAUCGGGGCGAUUAAAGUUAAGCAUUGCAAUUAAUUUGCUCGUUUAGCGAUUGUUUAAAAUUAUGGUCGCGCCAUUCCGUUUGUUGUUUAGGGAAGAGGCAAUACAGCCCAAAAACAUCCCACCUUACCUAAAAAAAACCACAGUACAAAGCAGUGACCGCAAAAAUCCGCAACAAAAACCCUAAUUAACAACAUGUACGAACACAAACCACCUGGUCUUCCGUUUACCAACAAACACCUCCUUCACGCCAUGGAAUCCGUGUGUACUACAUACUGGCGCGUCGGGACGGUUUCUCCCGAUAAUGUGGAACGAAAACCAGCUAACAAGCUGUGUAUUCUGAAAGAGGGGAAAUCAGAGUUUGUCAGACAACUGCUGGGAAACUAGUUUUUACUCAUCCUGUCGCUCACAAUUAACCUUUGAAUGGAUGUGGUACUGAUCAGCGGCCUGGUGUUGGUGUAGGGAAGCGACAGAAUGAGGCGACGUGUGCCAUAACGUGACCGAUAGUUCACCUCAGGAUCAGCAUUUACGUUACGUUUUUAGAUCCUCCGUAAAGUGCAGUAGGGGCAGGAGUUGCCUAUAAAAACAGAAAACCAGUGAUGCAAGAGUGGUAAUUGCGGUACAAGAGCCUUAACCGUUGGACUAGAAUUGGAUUGGAGAGUUUAUGCAGGAACAACAAAAACCGACGGCCACUACAGAAUUAUCGUACCGAACCAUUUACAUCUAAAGAAGUAGCAGAAAUAGCAGAAACUGUAUAAUGCGAAUGUAGGAAAAUAUAUGUAUGUAAACUAGGUGUCAACAGGAUAUCCUAUCUGUAGCUACAAGCUUAUGCAGCUGACAGAUCACGUUGCGUCUUCAGUGAGAUGUAACGGGACAGCUUUUGUUUUGCAAGAGAGAAAAACCAACGCAGCAAAAACUAGCAUUAUCUUUUUGGCAUUCGAAAUGAGGUACGGUAGCAAUAAGGACUAGUAUGAGGCAAUGGAAAAAAAUAAAUACGAGUACUACAGCUUGAAAAUCAGUCCGUAAGCAAAGGUGGUCAGUGUAGCUGCAAAAGUAAGGUCGCGUGUUCCAAACACAGCACUACAACAACUGGACAAUUGUGCCUGGUAGCUCAUGCUCAAUUAUGCACCGGAGAAGAGUUUCGGUUUUUUUAUUUCUAUCGCUUGUCAUUUGUUUAUGAAUCCCACCUUAUGAAGCUUACAAAAUAAAUGUUGCAACCUUGCCAAAGCGGAGUUAUACGAAAAGAGUUUUGAAAAAAUAUUACCUUAGGAAAUUUAC